rnacentral:misc_RNA from 1 species
GAUGAAGAACGUAGCGAAAUGCGAUAAGUAAUGUGAAUUGCAGAAUUCAGUGAAUCAUCGAAUCUUUGAACGCACAUUGCGCCCCCCAGUAUUCUGGCGGGCAUGCCUGUUCGAGCGUCAUUUCAACCAUCAAGCCCUGCUCGUGUUGGGGUCCUGCGGCUGCCCGCAGGCCCUGAAAACCAGUGGCGGGCUCGCUAGUCACACCGAGCGCAGUAGCACAUCUCGCUCAGGGCGUGCGGCGGGCUCCAGCCGUUAAAGCACCCACCUUUCGCAAGGUUGACCUCGGAUCAGGUAGGAAUACCCGCUGAACUUAAGCAUAUCAAUAAGCGGAGGA